GGGCCGGUAACUCAGUGGUAGAGGUUUGUACAAUCUCGGCCGCUCAUCACAACGUCAUCUAAUGCUACUCAGUGUAGGAUUGCAGUUAUCCAAAGCCGUUCAUCCCGAAGUCACCGGUUCGACUCCGGUUCGGCCCU